rnacentral:tRNA from 1 species
AAGGGGAGAAGAUCAACCUUAAGCCGCUAACUUAAAGGUUAAUAGGUUAAAUUCCUAUUUCUCUUUU